rnacentral:lncRNA from 1 species
AUUCUAAUUCAAAUCAAGUGUUAUUCAAUCAUACGGAUUAACUAAUAGAUUUGAUUUCAUAAUGUUUUUGAAUGGAUUUGCAUGGAUUUCAAUACAUAUUUUCAUGGAUUUGAAAAUCCAAACUAAAUAUAGUGAUGGAUUGGGAUUUUACAUUUAAUGGAGUUGAUAUGAAAUUUGUAGAUUUUGAAAAGGAUAUGAGAGUUUUUGAUAGGAAUUUGAAUGGGUAAUUUUGGCAGACUUUGUUUUCUAAAAAUUAGUGAUUUGUAAGUUUUUAAUAUUUUAAAAGAACAUAAAACAAACAACUACCAUAAUCACGGAAGAUCAUUUCAUCAGCUUCAUCUCGUCUCUUCUCUUUUGAACAUGCCGC